AUUGAACGCUGGCGGCAGGCCUAACACAUGCAAGUCGAGCGGAUGACGGGAGCUUGCUCCUUGAUUCAGCGGCGGACGGGUGAGUAAUGCCUAGGAAUCUGCCUGGUAGUGGGGGACAACGUUUCGAAAGGAACGCUAAUACCGCAUACGUCCUACGGGAGAAAGCAGGGGACCUUCGGGCCUUGCGCUAUCAGAUGAGCCUAGGUCGGAUUAGCUAGUUGGUGGGGUAAUGGCUCACCAAGGCGACGAUCCGUAACUGGUCUGAGAGGAUGAUCAGUCACACUGGAACUGAGACACGGUCCAGACUCCUACGGGAGGCAGCAGUGGGGAAUAUUGGACAAUGGGCGAAAGCCUGAUCCAGCCAUGCCGCGUGUGUGAAGAAGGUCUUCGGAUUGUAAAGCACUUUAAGUUGGGAGGAAGGGCAGUAAGUUAAUACCUUGCUGUUUUGACGUUACCGACAGAAUAAGCACCGGCUAACUCUGUGCCAGCAGCCGCCGCGG
rnacentral:rRNA from 1 species